rnacentral:rRNA from 1 species
AGAAUAUUAGUCAAUGCUCGCAAGAGUGAACUAGCUAACUGAAAUCACAUGAGUCACUCUGUUGAUAAUUGUGAUAACGUAAGGGAUAAAAAUGAUAUUACCUUACUAUUAGUGUUGUCCAAAACUGGUGCCAGAAGACUCGGUAAGGCCAGAGACGCAAACGUUAGUCGUCUUAAUCAGGCGUAAAGGGUAUGUAGGCUGCUUUAAAAUCAAUUAAAGCUAGGAUCAAAUUGAGGAUAACCCAAAUAAUACUUAGUGUAGGGUUGAUAUCUAUAGAUACUAAGGGGAAUACUAAAGGUGAAAACUUUUUAUCUACUAAUGAUUGACGCUGAGAAACGAAGGUGAGAAUAGGAAAUAGGAUUAGAUACCCAGAUACCUCUCACUGUCAACGAUGAAUGGUGGUUGUUAGUUUUUUAUAACUGGUAACGAUGUUAACACGAUAACCAUUCCGCCUUGCGAGUACGGUUGCAAAACUGAAACCAAAAAAAUUAGUCGGUCUCGAAGCAAACGAAGUGAAGCAUGUUAUUUAAUUCGAUA